UCUACGGGAUGCAGCAGUGGGGAAUAUUGGUCAAUGGAGGAAACUCUGAACCAGCAACGCUGCGUGAAUGAUGAAGGUCUUCGGAUUGUAAAGUUCUUUUCUAAGGGAAGAAGAAAGUGACGGUACCUUAGGAAUAAGCCUCGGCUAACUACGUGCCAGCAGCCGCGGUAAUACGUAGGAGGCGAGCGUUAUCCGGAAUGACUGGGCGUAAAGGGUGCGUAGGUGGUUUGACAAGUUGGUAGCGUAACUCCGAGGCUCAACCUCGGCACUACUACCAAAACUGUCGGACUUGAGUGCAGGAGGGGCAAUUGGAAGUCCUAGUGUAGCGGUGGAAUGCGCAGAUAGUAGGAGGAACACCGGUGGCGAAGGCGAAUUGCUGGACUGUAACUGACACUGAGGCACGAAAGCGUGGGGAGCAAACAGGAUUAGAUACCCUUGUAGUC
rnacentral:rRNA from 1 species